rnacentral:rRNA from 1 species
AGAGUUUGAUCAUGGCUCAGAUUGAACGCUGGCGGCAGGCCUAACACAUGCAAGUCGAACGGUAACAGGAAGCAGCUUGCUGCUUCGCUGACGAGUGGCGGACGGGUGAGUAAUGUCUGGGAAACUGCCUGAUGGAGGGGGAUAACUACUGGAAACGGUGGCUAAUACCGCAUAACGUCGCAAGACCAAAGAGGGGGACCUUCGGGCCUCUUGCCAUCAGAUGUGCCCAGAUGGGAUUAGCUUGUUGGUGAGGUAACGGCUCACCAAGGCGACGAUCCCUAGCUGGUCUGAGAGGAUGACCAGCCACACUGGAACUGAGACACGGUCCAGACUCCUACGGGAGGCAGCAGUGGGGAAUAUUGCACAAUGGGCGCAAGCCUGAUGCAGCCAUGCCGCGUGUAUGAAGAAGGCCUUCGGGUUGUAAAGUACUUUCAGCGGGGAGGAAGGUGUUGUGGUUAAUAACCGCAGCAAUUGACGUUACCCGCAGAAGAAGCACCGGCUAACUCCGUGCCAGCAGCCGCGGUAAUACGGAGGGUGCAAGCGUUAAUCGGAAUUACUGGGCGUAAAGCGCACGCAGGCGGUCUGUCAAGUCGGAUGUGAAAUCCCCGGGCUCAACCUGGGAACUGCAUUCGAAACUGGCAGGCUUGAGUCUUGUAGAGGGGGGUAGAAUUCCAGGUGUAGCGGUGAAAUGCGUAGAGAUCUGGAGGAAUACCGGUGGCGACGGCUCCGCCGCGGACAAAGACUGACGCGCAGGCGGGAAAGCCUGGGGGGCAAACAGGAUUAGACACCCUGGUACCCCUCGCCGUCAACGAUGUCUUCUUGGAUGUUGUGCCCUUGAGGCGUGGCUUCCGGAGCUAACGCGU